rnacentral:lncRNA from 1 species
ACGGAUUUCGAAAUUUCAAAAAAAAAUGACGAAAAUGCCUUUGUGAGCUAGAAAAUAAUAUUUUAUUGUUUGAGUUGUAAACAACUUAUGAUUUCUUAAAAUGUGAGAUUUAAUAACUGUCGCUCACCGGGGAGAUGCGAAAGUUGAUGCUAAGCCUUGCGGGGUUUCGAUCGGCAUUCGGGGUAAUGAGUGCUUAUUGGGACGUCUCGACGGUUGUCACAGGCCCGAUGAGAGUUCCGGGUCGUGACAUUACGUGAGGUUGCAAGUUUGACAGAGGAUGAAGUUGAUCAGGCAUCUUACAAACUUACUAAUAAUCCAUCCCGAAUAACUUAUUUUUUUACUUUUCCCUCUAGCAACAGACUUAUAUGGUAAAGAAAGAUUGUCUCAAGGCCUUGAUGUUAGAAUAGUUUGGUUUUUCAAGACUUUAUUGUUAAUUGUUAAGAACUUAAAAACUUGUUGCUAAUUGGCUUGUUCUUCUAGGAUAACAAAAUUAUUAUGGGUG